rnacentral:tRNA from 1 species
GCAGAUGUAGCAUAACGGUCAAUGCAUCGGACUUCCAAUCCGAAAAUGAGGUUUCGACUACCUUCAUCUGCU